rnacentral:rRNA from 1 species
GAUGAACGCUGGCGGCGUGCCUAAUACAUGCAAGUCGAGCGAACAGACGAGGAGCUUGCUCCUUUGACGUUAGCGGCGGACGGGUGAGUAACACGUAGGUAACCUACCUAUAAGACUGGGAUAACUUCGGGAAACCGGAGCUAAUACCGGAUAAUAUUUCGAACCGCAUGGUUCGAUAGUGAAAGAUGGCUUUGCUAUCACUUAUAGAUGGACCUGCGCCGUAUUAGCUAGUUGGUAAGGUAACGGCUUACCAAGGCAACGAUACGUAGCCGACCUGAGAGGGUGAUCGGCCAGACUGGAACUGAGACACGGUCCAGACUCCUACGGGAGGCAGCAGUAGAGAAUCUUCCGCAAUGGACGAAAGCGUGACGGAGCAACGCCGCGUGAGUGAUGAAGGUCUUCGGAUCGUAAAACUCUGUUAUUAGGGAAGAACAAACGUGUAAGUAACUGUGCACAUCUUGACGGUACCUAAUGAGAAAGCCACGGCUAACUACGUG